rfam:Operophtera brumata OBRT01_Sc06044, whole genome shotgun sequence.
CUACAGGCUCUUUUCAGAGCUACAUCGUACUACCACCAGCUCUUUU